UACGUAGGGGGCAAGCGUUGUCCGGAAUCAUUGGGCGUAAAGAGCGUGUAGGCGGCCCGGUAAGUCCGCUGUGAAAGUCCAGGGCUCAACCCUGGGAUGCCGGUGGAUACUGUCGGGCUCGAGUCCGGAAGAGGAGUGUGGAAUUCCCGGUGUAGCGGUGAAAUGCGCAGAUAUCGGGAAGAACACCCGUGGCGAAGGCGGCUCUCUGGAACGCAACUGACGCUGAGACGCGAAAGCCAGGGGAGCAAACGGG
rnacentral:rRNA from 1 species